rnacentral:rRNA from 1 species
AUUGAACGCUGGCGGCAGGCCUAACACAUGCAAGUCGAACGGUAACAGGAAGAAGCUUGCUUCUUUGCUGACGAGUGGCGGACGGGUGAGUAAUGUCUGGGAAACUGCCUGAUGGAGGGGGAUAACUACUGGAAACGGUAGCUAUUACCGCAUAACGUCGCAAGACCAAAGAGGGGGACCUUCGGGCCUCUUGCCAUCGGAUGUGCCCAGAUGGGAUUAGCUAGUAGGUGGGGUAACGGCUCACCUAGGCGACGAUCCCUAGCUGGUCUGAGAGGAUGACCAGCCACACUGGAACUGAGACACGGUCCAGACUCCUACGGGAGGCAGCAGUGGGGAAUACUGCACAAUGGGCGCAAGCCUGAUGCAGCCAUGCCGCGUGUAUGAAGAAGGCCUUCGGGUUGUAAAGUACUUUCAGCGGGGAGGAAGGGAGUAAAGUUAAUACCUUUGCUCAUUGACGUUACCCGCAGAAGAAGCACCGGCUAACUCCGUG